rnacentral:rRNA from 1 species
GGGUCAGUAGGUUGGUCGUGCCACAGGUACGUACUGGUCUCACUGAUUCCUCCUUCCUGAAGAACCGUAAUGCCAUUAUUUUGGUGUUGCGGGGAAACAGGACUGUUACUUUGAAAAAAUUAGAGUGUUUAAAGCAAGCUAACGCUUGAAUACAUUAGCAUGGAAUAAUGAAAUAGGACGAUCGAUCCUAUUUUGUUGGUUUCUAGGAUUGACGUA